AGCGAACGCUGGCGGCAGGCCUAACACAUGCAAGUCGAACGAAGUCUUCUGACUUAGUGGCGGACGGGUGAGUAACACGUGGGAACGUGCCUUUAGGUUCGGAAUAACUCAGGGCAACUUGUGCUAAUACCGAAGGUGCCCAUCGGGGGAAAGAUUUAUCGCCUUUAGAGCGGCCCGCGUCUGAUUAGCUAGUUGUGGAGGUAAAGGCUCACCAAGGCUACGAUCAGUAGCUGGUCUGAGAGGAAGACCAGCCACAUUGGGACUGAGACACGGCCCAAACUCCUACGGGAGGCAGCAGUGGGGAAUCUUGCGCAAUGGGCGAAAGCCUGACGCAGCCAUGCCGCGUGGAUGAUGAAGGUCUUAGGAUUGUAAAAUCCUUUCACCGGUGAAGAUAAUGACUGUAGCCGGAGAAGAAGCCCCGGCUAACUUCGUGCCAGCAGCCGCGGUAACAC
rnacentral:rRNA from 1 species